CAAAAAUGAUGCAUUCGAUUUAGCUCGAUGAUUCGAAUUAAAUAUUAGAUAUUUGCUUUUUGUUUAUAUUUAUAUAUACUAUCUAUGUGUAUGUGUGUGUGUGUGUGUGUGUGUGUGUGUGUGUGUGUGUGUGUGUGUGUUAGCUGGAUAUGCCACCGAUAUUUGCUUGCUGUUUCCCCCAACCCAGAACCCACCCCUCCAUCGCUUCCCUCCGUUGCACGUCGAGUUCGA
rnacentral:sRNA from 1 species